GCCGGGUGUCGUGGCGUGCAUCUGUAAUCCAGCUACUAGGAGGCGAAACUCUCGGACGGCUUGAGUUCGGGACCACUAUCGUGCAGUUGUCUAUGUCGAUCAGGCGUCCACACUAAGCUCAGUGUCAACAUGGUUAUCAUGCAGGAAUGCAAGAUACACCAGGUUCGAUAAUGAAGAACGUACAGGCCCAGGGCGGAAACGCAGCAGGCAAAAGUUCUCGCAGUGAGCAGUAGUGGGAUAGCGCUUGUGAAUAGGUGGUGUACGGUAGCCCGGACAAGACAGUCGAACGAAGCUUUUA
rnacentral:SRP_RNA from 1 species